UCAAAUUUUGUUUGGGGAGUAAUGGAACCUAACGCACAAAUAUGACGUUAUUUUCUUGCAUCAGCCUGGUGGUCCAGGAAGGUAUAUAAAACCAUUCAUGAUUCAGAAACCUUCCAGCAGGUUCUCUUGACUUCUCCUCGGUGAACUGAGUCUACAGCACAGCUCAGAGAUGUCCUGCGAGAAAACUCUGUGCACUGAGCCAUGCUCUGUCCCGUGUGAUGUGAAAUGCCCCGAGCCCCGUGCCGCUGCCUGCAAUGAGCCCUGUGUCAUCACCUGCCCAGAUUCCCGCGUGAUUAUAUUCCCACCUCCUGUGGUUGUGACCUUCCCAGGACCCAUCCUCACCACCUACCCGCAGGAAACUAUUGUGGGCUCCACGGAGUCAGCCGAGCUGGCUGGCUCCUUAGAGUCGGCCGUGGGGAUUGCUUCGGCGCAGAAGGGUGCUGAGUGCGUAGAGCCUUGCAUCGAUCGGUGUGCCCCGCAGUUUGCGACAAAGUGCGAGCCCCAGUGUGUUCCUCAGUGUGCUGCCCAGUGUGCUCCCCCGUGCGCUCCCCAGUGCGCUCCCCCUUGCGCUCCCCAGUGUGUGCCAGAGUGCUCCUAUACCUAUUCCACCCACUGGAAGCAUCCUUGCCAGAGGGGCUUCUGUAAGAAGAUCUAAUCAGCUUAAAACAAAGAAUAGUCACGGGAAAAGAGCAAGCAAAGAUGUGAAAGAAUAUGGCAUGUGAUCUAGAGGCAUGGCUACCGGAGAGGGAAGCACCCCUGAAAACCAGGACCCUACAUUUAUUUCCUAUAUAGCGCUUUAGCUUAGAUUAAUGCUUUCUUUAUUCUUGUGGCUUUGCAUCUUAUGUCUGUGCUUUUAACUUUCUCUACCCAGUUUGACAUUGACCAUGGUUUUAAAACAAAGCACACAUAGGGAUUUGAAUGUCAGACUCAGCAAGAGUGAGGAAAGUGAGCAUGUUGAUGAAAUGUGUCACACUGGAAUAGGUAAUUGGUUUUAGCUUUUCUUAUCUCUAGAAAUAUGCUCUUUCUAGUCUGCAUUAUUCUUUCUGCAAAUGUUUACUCCACUUUGCAUCUACAUUAAAAUGCUGCUGCAUCAAACCAUCGGCCUUCUGAAUCUUCUUUUUCCUCUGCUACUUAUUUGCAAUACUCUCUUGGUGACACUCAGCCUUGUAUAGAGGAACAGAAGAUGGCCUGGAGACUCUUCCUAGACCACUCAAAACAUCAUGCUCAGGUAAAAUUAAGGAUUUGGUUCUGCUCUGCAGGCCCCUGUGUGAAAACGCCACAUUUUAUGUCAGUUGUAAAAUCCAGGUUGCAGUCUGGAAACCAGUGAGCAGAAGCCCCAUUCACAGAAACAUGGUUCUGCAUUUUCUAGGUAUAUGCCUCUAGAUUAUGGCAAAAUGUAUAUUUUUAGAGUAUCCUGUUCUAACUCAUAACCAGUCCUAUUUGGAGGCCUUCUUUUCUAUAAACAAACUGAACUGA